UAACGCGUGAGAAUCUGCCCUCAGGAUGGGGACAACGACUGGAAACGGUCGCUAAUACCCAAUGUGCCGAGAGGUGAAACUUAUAUGGCCUGAGGAUGAGCUCGCGUCUGAUUAGCUAGUUGGAGUGGUAACGGCACCCCAAGGCGACGAUCAGUAGCUGGUCUGAGAGGAUGAUCAGCCACACUGGGACUGAGACACGGCCCAGACUCCUACGGGAGGCAGCAGUGGGGAAUUUUCCGCAAUGGGCGAAAGCCUGACGGAGCAAGACCGCGUGAGGGAGGAAGGCCUACUGGUUGUAAACCUCUUUUGAUAGGGAAGAAGACAAUGACGGUACCUAUCGAAUCAGCCUCGGCUAACUCCGUGCCAGCAGCCGCGGUAAUACGGAGGAGGCAAGCGUUAUCCGGAAUUAUUGGGCGUAAAGCGUCCGUAGGUGGCGAACCAAGUCAGUUGUUAAAGCGUGGAGCUUAACUCCAUAUCAGCAAUUGAAACUGGUUGGCUAGAGUGCGAUAGGGGCAAGGGGAAUUCCCAGUGUAGCGGUGAAAUGCGUAUAUAUUGGGAAGAACAUCGGUGGCGAAAGCGCCUUGCUGGGUCUGCACUGACACUGAGAGGACAAAAGCUAGGGGAGCGAACGGCAUUCGAUACCCCCUGAUUCUCACGCGUUAUC
rnacentral:rRNA from 1 species